AUAAAGCCCAUUUGUGGUGCUCUAGUGUGUAGGGCCAGCCCCUGGGAUGGGAUCCACUUUGGAGGGCCUUUGGUGCUGGCCAAAGCUACCUGCUGGGUGUGGCAUGGCAAGGGCCACUUUGGUGAAGCACCAGCUGGGGUGAGUUUUCAGAGGCAUCGUGUCAUUGGCAGGUGGUCCAGCCAGCCCCACAGCCCCACGUGGUGAUGCAUGCAAGCAGAAAGUGUGGCAACCUCCCAGGAUGUCCCCGUCAGCCCUCUGCAAUGCAGCGUGCAUUCCCUGGGAAGUCAUGUUUCCUCCAGGUGAAGGAUGGUAUCGCUCCAUCUCUGUCACCUGCACAGAGAAGGAAGUGCUGCAGGGAGACAGAUGAGGUCAUCUAUUAUCAAGCAGGCAAAAGAGAGACCAAAGAGGCACCUGCAGCUUGCCAGAUGUUCUAUCAAUCAUCAGAGUCAGAGGAAGGGGAGCUUACUUCUUCCUCCCUGUCCUCUCCCAUCCAGCCUCUCCAGAGAAGAAUGAGACAAGAGAUUGGCUCACGGACCCAUGGACCAGUCCCCUCAAAAUGAGGCUGAGGAUGGGGUGGGAGCAUUUCCGGCAACCACAGGAGACAUUGCUCCCGGGCUAUAAAAAUCUUCAAGGUUCAUAUGCUUGGGUCAGUGCUGAACCAUGAUGACUAUCUCCCCAAGAAUUCUUAAAAGAAGAGCCAGCUGAUAUUACACUGGUCAUCAUCUUCUCCUUCUCCAUCAAAUUCCACUGUUAGCCAGGAACUGAGCUAAGAGUUCUGUCAGCAAGUUUCUUGCUUGCCUCUGGCAACAGCUUUACAAGGAAAGACUAUUAAUGUCCUGUUCCAGUGGAGGAAACUGAGGCAGAGAGAGACAAAUAACCAACCCAAAGUCCCCCAAGGUGGACCCCCACCAAUGUGCCAUCUCCUUCAUAGUGACAUUGAUAUGCCAGUAACACCCUGUUUCUUUCUAGCUAGGGAGGCAGGCACAGUUCCACUGCAUCCUUACAUUCCAAAGCACCCUGGGCAGGGAUGGCACUCCCAGGGCUGUCUCUGACCGCACAAGUCCAUGAGGCCAAGGUCUUCAAAGCCCAACCUCUAACACGGGAAUCCAGU
ensembl:lncRNA